UCGUGCUAGAUGGGGAGGUAGCGGUGCCCUGCACCCGCAAUCCGCUAUAGCGGGAUUGAAUUCCCGUCCAGAGGUCCUUGUAUCUCAAGUUCGAUCGGAGCAAAGUAGCGCUGAAGACCGGAUUCUACGCAACAAAGAGCUUCUGAACCCCGUCAGGACCGGAAGGUAGCAGCGGUAAGAAUGUCUCUUCGUGUGCCGCAGAGUCGUCCGGUUGGAGCUAACUCGCCCUGGACGGACCUAAGGUCAGGAUCGAAGAUGGGUGCACGG
rnacentral:SRP_RNA from 1 species